rnacentral:rRNA from 1 species
UACGUAGGGGGCAAGCGUUGUCCGGAAUCAUUGGGCGUAAAGCGAGUGUAGGCGGACGAUUAAGUCCGAUGUUAAAUCUCCAGGCUUAACUUGGAGUCGCAUCGGAUACUGGUCGCCUCGAGUGGGGUAGGGGGCAGCGGAAUUCCCGGUGUAGCGGUGAAAUGCGUAGAUAUCGAGAGGAACACCUGCGGCGAAGGCGGGUUGCUGGGCUGACACUGACGCUGAGGCGCGAAAGCUAGGGGAGCGAACGGG